rfam:Oryza glumipatula chromosome 9, whole genome shotgun sequence.
UUUAAGUGCAACCAUAGUUUCCAUGUUUAACUUUAAUCAUCCGUCUUAUUCGAAAUUUUCUAUAAUUAGUAUUUUUAUUGUUAUGAGAUGAUAAAGUAUGAAUAUUACUUUAUAUGUGAUUUAUUUUUUUAAUUCUUUUUUAAAAAAACUAAAUACGAUGAAUGAUCAAAGUUAUGCGCAAAAAAAAUCAUAGCUGCACUUAAA